rnacentral:rRNA from 1 species
CUCAGUAACGGCGAGUGAAGCGGUAACAGCUCAAAUUUGAAAUCUGGCCUCACGGUCCGAGUUGUAAUUUGUAGAGGAUGCUUCGAGCAUGGUCUGGCCUAAGUUCCUUGGAACAGGACGUCAUAGAGGGUGAGAAUCCCGUAUGCGGCCAGGUGCCUACGCUCAUGUGAAGCUCCUUCGACGAGUCGAGUUGUUUGGGAAUGCAGCUCAAAAUGGGUGGUAAAUUUCAUCUAAAGCUAAAUAUUGGCCAGAGACCGAUAGCGCACAAGUAGAGUGAUCGAAAGAUGAAAAGCACUUUGGAAAGAGAGUUAAACAGUACGUGAAAUUGUUGAAAGGGAAGCGCUUGCAACCAGACUUGCGCGCGGCCGAUCAUCCGGUGUUCUCACCGGUGCACUCGGCCGUGCUCAGGCCCAGCAUCGGUUUUGGCGGCUGGAUAAAGGCCCUAGGAAUGUAGCUCCUCUCGGGGAGUGUUAUAGCCUAGGGUGCAAUGCAGCCUGCUGGGACCGAGGACCGCGCUUCGGCUAGGAUGCUGGCGUAAUGGUUGUAAGCGGCCCGUCUUGAAACACGGACCAAGGAGUCUAACAUCUAUGCGAGUGUUUGGGUGUCAAACCCAUACGCGUAAUGAAAGUGAACGGAGGUGAGAACCCUUAAGGGUGCAUCAUCGACCGAUCCUGAUGUCUUCGGAAGGAUUUGAGUAAGAGCAUAGCUGUUGGGACCCGAAAGAUGGUGAACUAUGCCUGAAUAGGGUGAAGCCAGAGGAAACUCUGGUGGAGGCUCGCAGCGGUUCUGACGUGCAAAUCGAUCGUCAAAUUUGGGUAUAGGGGCGAAAGACUAAUCGAACCAUUGACCUGUAGGAACACUACUAGGUGGUUAAGAGGCGGCUAAAAGUGCCGUCUAGUCCCGACGCCGGGGCGACACUGUCAAAUUGCGGGAACAUCCUUAGAGCCUAGACUACCGCAGCCUUCCCGAAAGGGGGGUGCGCACCAGGGUAACGACCUCGGGUAUGGUAAUAACGUCUAGGAUUGGACAAUCCGCAGCCAAGCCCUACGGACCUCGGUCUAUGGGUGCAGUUCAUCGACUAGAUGGCAGUGGGUGGCAGCAAUGCCGCUUAAGAUAUAGUCAGACCCCCGGGAGACCGGGCGGCAGAACGAAGACCGUGGGGGGCGUCCUCUCUGAGAGCCCCGCGGUCCCGAGUCUGCUGGUGGCGUUGCAGCUUGCUG